AGAACGAACGCUGGCGGCAUGCCUAAUACAUGCAAGUCGAACGAACACUUCGGUGUUAGUGGCGCACGGGUGCGUAACGCGUGGGAAUCUGCCCUUGGGUUCGGAAUAACAGUUGGAAACGACUGCUAAUACCGGAUGAUAUCGAAAGAUCAAAGAUUUAUCGCCCAGGGAUGAGCCCGCGUAGGAUUAGCUAGUUGGUGAGGUAAAGGCUCACCAAGGCGACGAUCCUUAGCUGGUCUGAGAGGACGACCAGCCACACUGGGACUGAGACACGGCCCAGACUCCUACGGGGAGGCAGCAGUGGGGAAUUUGGACAAUGGG
rnacentral:rRNA from 1 species